rnacentral:lncRNA from 1 species
CUUGUCUCCCAGUCGCCACUUGUGUCGUGUCAGAUAGGCCCUCUUGUCCCCUUUUGCUUCUGUUGCUGCUGUUGUAAAGGUUUUUGUUUUAACCAAAGGUUCGUAAUUAAACCCUUUCCACCUUAUCUUUUUGUCAUGAUAUGUGAUGACCCAACUAUAUAUAUGUGUACCAACUAUUGAUCCAAGGAUUGGUACUGAUAAACACAGAAGGUUACCGAUUAGCGAAAUCGAGGGCCUACAUAUUUUUUCACUACCUUAAUAUAAAAUCAGAAAGAUCUUAAUUGGUUUCAAAAGAAAAAUAAUGUGGGUAAUAGAGUACACCAAACACCACGAGUUCAAGAUUGACCAGUGGAAUAAGUUUGUAUGAGUGUUGCCCUGGUGUGCUCCUUAAGGCAUGCACGCAUGUGCAUAGCCAAAUUUCAUUGCAUACUCUCAGAUGUUUGAACUACACCUAUGGUCCGUGGCCGAACCACCACACAUAUGAACUCCACACCUGCAAUCACUCUUGAUAAUCAAGCCAAUUAAUAGAUUUACUAGUGCUUCCCACUCCCAAGAGGAGCUGAGAGAAUUCAUCACUAAAGUUCAGACCAUGAGUGUUAGAUUGGUUUAUGCACAACCUAAGGCAGCUGCUACUGCUAGUAUAUAUUGUCAUAUUCCUACACA